UUAUCCCCUCCUUCCUCCCACUCUCGGUCAGCCACCUUCCUACCCCCAAGCUCGCGUCCGUCCAUGGCGUUCACCGCACCGGUAGGGGUGGGAGGCGCCCCCCUCUCCCUCGCUAUCUCCGCAUCCUCGACCUCCAGCUCGGCCUCCUUCCUCCUCCGCGCCGGCGGCGACUGCCCGCAGCGCGGGAGGCUCCGCCGCCUCGCCGCCCCACGGAGCGGAUGCGCCAGGGGGGAUAGCCGGAGGAGAUGGGACUGCCAAAUAACCCGCUGUGCCGGCGAGGCGAAUGUGGUGACCGAGGACGAUACGGCGGAUGUUGCUGAUGAUGCCGCCACGGACCAAGCUGCCGAUGAUGCCGCCGAUGUGCUCGACUCCUUGAACCCUGACGACGCUGAUUCAGUUGCCUGGAUAAAGCAGCAGCCUCUCCCUUAUCCUGCAGAUGCUCUGGAGCCAUACAUAAGCAAGGAGACGGUGGAGCAGCACUGGGGAGUUCACCAGCGCGGGCACGUGGACAGGCUCAACGGCAUGAUCGGCGGCAGUGAGUGGGAGCGGAUGUCGAUUGGGCAGAUGAUGCUCGCCUCAUUCAAUGAAGGCAGGGAGCCACCACAUGCUCCCUUCUUCCAUGCCGCACAGGUAUGGAACCAUGAUUUCUACUGGCGAUCAAUGAAGCCUGGCGGUGGAGGCAAGCCCCCGGAACGGCUUCUGAAGUUUAUAAACAGGGACUUUGGAUCCUAUGACGGCAUGAUUAAACAAUUCAUGGAUGCCGCACUAACUCAGUUCGGUUCUGGAUGGGUUUGGCUUUCUUACAAAGGCAGUAAAUUACCUCAUGUGGAUUCAAAAAGCCCAAUCCCAUCCGACAAUUAUGGUAGGCUGGUCAUCUCAAAGUCUCCGAAUGCUAUCAAUCCUCUUGUCUGGGGCCACUCUCCACUCCUUGCGAUCGAUAUUUGGGAGCAUGCCUACUACCUGGAUUAUGAGAAUCGAAGGGCUGAGUAUGUCUCAGCAAUUCUAGAGAAGCUUGUGUCGUGGGAAAUGGUGGAGUCCAGGCUCCGGAAAGCUGUUCUGCGAGCAAUAGAAAGAGACGGUCACAGCAGCCCGAAGCAGCGAAGGAAGCAACUUCUGCCCCAGGCUAAAGGCCGCGACGGGGAUGCAAGUACCAGCGGUGAGGCGAGAAGGCGACCAAGAAGUAAGGAUCAGCAGGCCCCUUCCAGCGUGACAAUGGUACCAGCAGGUGAGCCGGUACCAAACUAAGCCAUGAGCCCGUGAGGUUGGCGACCAGUAGCACGGGCAGGCAGCUAGAGCAGCGUGGCCCAAAUCGUCUAGAACAGUAGUCUCUGAAGAAUGUGUGCAGCGCGGUGGAGGCAUCACUCUGCUUCCUGGUGACCGUUGUAGCAUGAUUUGCACGCCUCGGUUUUUGUCAAUGUUUGUCUAAUAGGAGUACCGUAGUAUGCCUGUAUAACUUGAGCAACAAGCAACAAUGCUGGAUAGGCUAAAUUUUGGUAAGUAGCCUCAGGGUUUGGUGUCAUAUAUUGGUUGAGAGAUAGGCUUAGGAAGUAGGCACUUGGACUCUGGUCUUUUUAGAAGUAGAAGCAUAGUCUCUGUCCCUGUUUGGAUCAUAAAUAUCAGCAAUCUCCUUUUGAUGCUCACAAGAUUGUUCCUCCUAAUGAGUCCAACUGAGAAGAGGAACCAUUUGGCCCAUUAAUCCCUUCUAUCUGAUUAACGAUAUAGUUUUGUGCGAAA